rfam:TPA: Bos taurus chromosome 1, whole genome shotgun sequence.
AUCACUUAGGAACCUUGUUGAAAUGCAGGUUCUGAUUCAGUAGGUCUAGAAUGGGACCCAAGAUUCUGCAUCUUUAACAAGUUCCAGGUGAUGCCGA